UCGAGAAUAAUUCGCAAUGGGCGAAAGCCUGACGAUGCGACGCCGUGUGAACGAAGAAGGCCUUCGGGUUGUAAAGUUCUGUCGCCUAAGAACAAGUACACUGGAAUAAUACUCUGGUGUAUUGAGAGUACUAGGAAAGGAAGCACCGGCUAACUCCGUGCCAGCAGCUGCGGUAAUACGGAGGGUGCAAGCGUUAGUCGGAAUUACUGGGCGUAAAGGGCGUGUAGGCGGGAAUAUAAGUCAGACGUGAAAUUCCGAGGCUCAACCUCGGAGCUGCCUCUGAAACUAUAUUUCUAGAGGAAUGGCGGAGAAAACGGAAUUCCACAUGUAGCGGUGAAAUGCGUAGAUAUGUGGAGGAACACCUGUGGCGAAAGCGGUUUUCUAGCUUAAUCCUGACGCUGAGGCGCGAAAGCAAGGGGAGCAAACA
rnacentral:rRNA from 1 species